rnacentral:rRNA from 1 species
UACGGAGGGCGCGAGCGUUGUCCGGAAUCACUGGGCGUAAAGGGCGCGUAGGCGGCCCUGGUAAGUCUGCGGUGAAAGCCCGGGGCUCAACCCCGGGUCGGCCGCGGGUACUGCCGGGCUGGAGUGCCGUAGGGGCAGGCGGAAUUCCGGGUGUAGCGGUGAAAUGCGUAGAGAUCGGAAAGAACACCAACGGCGAAAGCACUCUGCUGGGCCGACACUGACACUGAGAGACGAAAGCUAGGGGAGCGAAUGGG